GACGAACGCUGGCGGCGUGCUUAACACAUGCAAGUCGAACGGAAAGGCCCUGCUUGCAGGGUGCUCGAGUGGCGAACGGGUGAGUAACACGUGGGUGAUCUGCCCCUUAUUUUGGGAUAAGCCUGGGAAACUGGGUCUAAUACUGGAUAGGACCAUGCUGUAGGUGGUGUGGUGGAAAGAUUAGUUUCGGUAAGGGAUGAGCUCGCGGCCUAUCAGCUUGUUGGUGGGGUAAUGGCCUACCAAGGCGUCGACGGGUAGCCGGCCUGAGAGGGUGGACGGCCCGAUUGGGACUGAGAUACGGGCCAGACGCCUACGGGAGGCAGCAGUGGGGAAUAUUGCACAAUGGGCGCAAGCCUGAUGCAGCGACGCCGCGUGGGGGAUGACGGCCUUCGGGUUGUGAACUCCUUUCAGCCAUGACGAAGCGCUUGUGGUGACGGUAGUGGUAGAAGAAGCACCGGCUAACUACGUG
rnacentral:rRNA from 1 species